rnacentral:rRNA from 1 species
GACGAACGCUGGCGGCGUGCUUAACACAUGCAAGUCGAACGGAAAGGCCUCUUUCGGGGGGUACUCGAGCGGCGAACGGGUGAGUAACACGUGAGUAACCUGCCCUUGACUUUGGGAUAACUUCAGGAAACUGGGGCUAAUACCGGAUAGGAGCUCCUGCUGCAUGGUGGGGGUUGGAAAGUUUCGGCGGUUGGGGAUGGACUCGCGGCUUAUCAGCUUGUUGGUGGGGUAGUGGCUUACCAAGGCUUUGACGGGUAGCCGGCCUGAGAGGGUGACCGGCCACCUUGGGACUGAGAUACGGCCCAGACUCCUACGGGAGGCAGCAGUGGGGAAUAUUGCACCAUGGGUGGAAGCCUGAUGCAGCAACGCCGUGUGCGGGAUGACGGCCUUCGGGUUGUAAACCGCUUUCGCUCAUGACGAAGCUUUGUGUGACGGUAGUGGGUAAAGAAGCACCGGCUAACUACGUG